UACAAUUUGGCUCCUAUGAUCCUUGCUGACAAUUACAGGGCGUUGGAUAGGUGUAAAAAUGGCACACGUUUCUUUCAAGGGUGCAACCUGAUACUUCAAUGGUGGAUGAUGAGACACUUGAUCAAAGCUCAUGAUCCAACAGAACCAGAUCCCUUGGAAAGACCGAACAGGCUCGAAAGUCACGAUUGGUGGGUGCAACGUAAUCAUUUCAACAGGACUGGAGGCCAAGAGUUUUGGUACUCGAGACUUCAGGGUUUGAGAGAGGAAAAUGUGCAGUGG
rnacentral:lncRNA from 1 species